CAUUGACCAAAUAACCCUUUCUAC
rnacentral:siRNA from 1 species